UUUAUACAAUGGAGAGUUUGAUCCUGGCUCAGGAUGAACGCUAGCGGCAGGCCUAACACAUGCAAGUCGAGGGGCAUCGGGAUUGAAGCUUGCUUCA
rnacentral:rRNA from 1 species